AUUGAACGCUGGCGGCAGGCCUAACACAUGCAAGUCGAACGAGUGGCGGACGGGUGAGUAAUGUCUGGGAAACUGCCCGAUGGAGGGGGAUAACUACUGGAAACGGUAGCUAAUACCGCAUACCAUCGGAUGUGCCCAGAGGGGAGUAGCUUGUAGGUGAGGUAACGGCUCACCUAGGCGACGCUCCCUAGCUGGUCUGAAAGGAUGACCAGCCACACUUGAACUGUGACACGGUCCACACUCCUACGGGUGGCAGCAGUGGGGAAUAUGGCGCACUGGGCGCAAGUCUUAUGCAGCCAUGCCGCGUGUAGGAAGAAGGCCUUCGGGUUGUAAAGUCCUUUCAGCGGGGAGGCGUUACCCGCAGAAGAAGCACCGGCUAACUCCGUGCCAGCAGCCGCGGUAAUUC
rnacentral:rRNA from 1 species